CAGGAGGAGACCGGUUGAUUCUCAUGGUCUUUUUUCUCUCAAAGAACCUAGCCCAGGAACAUCCAGUGUGUCAGAUCAAAUGCAAGCAACAAAGGCUCCCCCGCCCCGCGUCACGCCUUCUCCAAUCCUCCUCUUUGGGGAUGCUCCGGGAAGGGCAACCGGGGACUUGAGGGGACCAGCGCUCCUAGGGCAAGGCGGAGGCAGCCCGGGCUGAUGCCAGUGAAGUGAUGCCUCAGUCCUCCGGUUGUGUUUGAAGAAUUGCUGGGGCUAUUAUGACAACUGAGGGCAAAGAAGGGAAAACAGACUCUAAGAAAACCAUCUCAAAAGUCUUGGAUUUGCUGCUGUUAAAAGGCUGCUGUGCAUUUCUGAUUUCCUCAUCUUUUGCUACAAAGGAAAAAGAAAUCUAAUGAUGUGUCUACAUUUGAUGAGACGAAAACACUAACAACAGUGAAGGUGCACUUAUUUUCUUUUCUUUUCCCCUGAUUUUGUUUUAAUAUCGUGUAGUUUAGCAGGUUGAAAGCUGUGGAGAUGUAAAAGGAUGUUCACUUGUCCACAUCUAUUCGCUGACUUUCAUCACUUGAAUUUUGUAGGAUUUUUUUUUUUUUUGGUCAAAUAGAAGUUAUGGGAAAGAGAAUUAGACACUUGCCAAGGGACAACAAUAUUAUACACUUUCAAGUAAGCUCCACCUA